rnacentral:rRNA from 1 species
GAUGAACGCUGGCGGCGUGCCUAAUACAUGCAAGUCGAGCGAACAGACGAGGAGCUUGCUCCUCUGACGUUAGCGGCGGACGGGUGAGUAACACGUGGAUAACCUACCUAUAAGACUGGGAUAACUUCGGGAAACCGGAGCUAAUACCGGAUAAUAUAUUGAACCGCAUGGUUCAAUAGUGAAAGACGGUUUUGCUGUCACUUAUAGAUGGAUCCGCGCCGCAUUAGCUAGUUGGUAAGGUAACGGCUUACCAAGGCAACGAUGCGUAGCCGACCUGAGAGGGUGAUCGGCCACACUGGAACUGAGACACGGUCCAGACUCCUACGGGAGGCAGCAGUAGGGAAUCUGCCGCAAUGGGCGAAAGCUUGACGGAGCAACGCCGCGUGAGUGAUGAAGGUCUGCGGAUCGUAAAACUCUGUUAUUAGGGAAGAACAAAUGUGUAAGUAACUAUGCACGUCUUGACGGUACCUAAUCAGAAAGCCACGGCUAACUACGG